rnacentral:siRNA from 1 species
ACGGAUCCAGCAGAUCCGGAUAGC